AAAAACAUGUCUUUUUGAUUUAUAUAUAAGGUCUAACCUGCCCAAUGAUUAAAUUUAAUGGCCGCGGUAUAUUAACUGUGCUAAGGUAGCAUAAUCAUUUGUCUUUUAAUUAAAGGCUAGUAUGAAUGGUUGGACGAGGUGCAUGCUUUCUUUAAUUUAAUUAAUGAACUUAAUUUUUUAGUUAAAAAGCUAAAAUAAAUUUGAGGGACGAGAAGACCCUAUAGAUCUUUAUAAUUAAUAUUAUUAUGUAUUUUGGUAAAAAAAUUAUUAUAAUAUUAUUAAUUAUUUGGUUGGGGUGACUGUAGAAUAUUAUGAACUUCUAUUUUUAUAAUUCAUAAAUUAUUGUUUAAAUUUGAUCCAAAAUUUUUGAUUAAAAGAUUAAGUUACCUUAGGGAUAACAGCGUAAUUUCUUUGGAGAGUUCAUAUCGAUGAAGGAGUUUGCGACCUCGAUGUUGGAUUAAAAUUAGUUUUAUGGUGCAGGUGCUUAAAAACUAAGUCUGUUCGACUUUUAAUUUUUUACAUGAUCUGA
rnacentral:rRNA from 1 species